UACGUAGGGUGCGAGCGUUAAUCGGAAUUACUGGGCGUAAAGCGUGCGCAGGUGGUUCGUUGUGUCUGAUGUGAAAGCCCCGGGCUCAACCUGGGAAUGGCAUUGGAAACUGGCGAGCUAGAGUGUGGCAGAGGGGGGUGGAAUUCCGCGUGUAGCAGUGAAAUGCGUAGAGAUGCGGAGGAACACCGAUGGCGAAGGCAGCCCCCUGGGCUGACACUGACGCUCAGGCACGAAAGCGUGGGGAGCAAACAGG
rnacentral:rRNA from 1 species